AAAUUGAAGAGUUUGAUCAUGGCUCAGAUUGAACGCUGGUGGCAGGCCUAACACAUGCAAGUCGAACGGUAACAGGAAGCAGCUUGCUGCUUCGCUGACGAGUGGCGGACGGGUGAGUAAUGUCUGGGAAACUGCCUGAUGGAGGGGGAUAACUACUGGAAACGGUAGCUAAUACCGCAUAAUGUCGCAAGACCAAAGAGGGGGACCUUCGGGCCUCU
rnacentral:rRNA from 1 species